AUGUCUUUUGCAGGUAGAAGGGUGCUGGUCCGAUGCGUGCUGUCAGCAGUCCCAACAUUCACCCUGUCUGUGCUGCGUCCCCGAAAAAGACUGAUCAAAGACAUUGACAAGAUCUGUCGCCGUUUUCUCUGGGCACAGGAGAAAGAUCUCACCGCCGGACAGUGCAAAGUUGCAUGGAAAAAAAAUUGCACGCCAACUGAAAAUGGUGGACUAGGGAUCCAUGAACUAGAAAGAUUUUCCAGUGCCCUCUGUCAACGCUGGCUGUGGCUAUCUUGGCAAAGCGAGGAGAGACCCUGGAAAGGAUCCGAGCUACCGUGUGACAGCGCUGACAGAGCCCUCUUCAACAAUGCAACAUUAGUGACUCUGGGAAAUGGUAAACUUGCAUCUUUCUGGACAUCUACCUGGUUCACCACGCCUUGUCUUGCAGUACUUUUCCCAGACAUGUACAACCGAUCGAGGGGAAAGAAGAAAUGCGUGCAUGAUGCUCUUGCAAAUGACAAAUGGAUAUCAAACCUCAGACAGCCAACAAACAUAGACCUGAUUCAAAACUUCCUCAUCCUAUGGAGAGCAAUUCGAGAUGCCAAUAUCACUUUGCAACCGGACACUGAUGACAAAAUCACAUGGCGUCUACAUGGCUCAGGGAUAUACACUGCCAAAUCAGCAUACACAGCCCAGUUUGAUCAUCUUGCAAAAAUGAUUACAAGGAGCUGA
rnacentral:rRNA from 1 species